GCCGCGUUAGCUCAGUUGGUAGAGCAGCUGCCUUGUAAUCAGCAGGUCGUCGGUUCGAGUCCGACACGCGGCUCCA
rnacentral:tRNA from 1 species